rnacentral:pre_miRNA from 1 species
UCUUAUGGAUGAGCAAAGUGAGUGGUUUCUAAAAAUGGAAUCUACCUCCUUGUGAAGAUGCUGCGAA